rnacentral:misc_RNA from 1 species
GAUGAAGAACGUAGCGAAAUGCGAUAAGUAGUGUGAAUUGCAGAAUUCCGUGAAUCAUCGAGUCUUUGAACGCACAUUGCGCCUUCUGGUAUUCCGGAAGGCAUGCCUGUUCGAGAGUCAUUAACAACCGUUUCGAUCCCUUUCUUUCAGAAAUUACAAAGAGGAAAAGGGUUUGGUUAUGGUGGAGGAGGGAAAGGGAGCGUUUAGCCUGUAAAAAAAGAGGCUGUGUUCCGCCUCCCCCCCAAAAUUGUACAGGCGGUCGUGUGCGCCCACGCAUCGAGGUGUUGUAAAAGCUGCCACGGCACUUUUCACCUGUGCAGUGCGAGAUUGGCCAGCCGGUUUAAAAACCCCUCCAAACAAUCAAAGGUUGACCUCGGAUCAGGUAGGGAUACCCGCUGAACUUAAGCAUAUCAAUAAGCGGAGGA